CUUUGAAGGCUUUUAGUUUAGAUUAACUUAAACCCUUUUAUAUGUA
rnacentral:tRNA from 1 species